GACGAACGCUGGCGGCGUGCUUAACACAUGCAAGUCGAACGAUGACGCCUAGCUUGCUAGGUGGAUUAGUGGCGAACGGGUGAGUAAUACGUGAGUAACCUACCUUUAACUCUGGGAUAAGCCUGGGAAACUGGGUCUAAUACCGGAUACGACCAAUCUCCGCAUGGGGUGUUGGUGGAAAGCGUUAUGUGGUGGUUAUAGAUGGGCUCACGGCCUAUCAGCUUGUUGGUGAGGUAACGGCUCACCAAGGCGACGACGGGUAGCCGGCCUGAGAGGGUGACCGGCCACACUGGGACUGAGACACGGCCCAGACUCCUACGGGAGGCAGCAGUGGGGAAUAUUGCACAAUGGGCGCAAGCCUGAUGCAGCGACGCCGCGUGAGGGAUGACGGCCUUCGGGUUGUAAACCUCUGUUAGCAGGGAAGAAGAGAAAUUGACGGUACCUGCAGAGAAAGCGCCGGCUAACUACGUGCCAGCAGCCGCGGUAAUACGUAGGGCGCGAGCGUUGUCCGGAAUUAUUGGGCGUAAAGAGCUUGUAGGCGGUUUGUCGCGUCUGCUGUGAAAGGCCGGGGCUUAACCCCGUGUAUUGCAGUGGGUACGGGCAGACUAGAGUGCAGUAGGGGAGACUGGAACUCCUGGUGUAGCGGUGGAAUGCGCAGAUAUCAGGAAGAACACCGAUGGCGAAGGCAGGUCUCUGGGCUGUAACUGACGCUGAGAAGCGAAAGCAUGGGGAGCGAACAGG
rnacentral:rRNA from 1 species